GAACGGUAACAGGAUUAGCUUGCUAAUCGCUGACGAGUGGCGGACGGGUGAGUAAUGCUUGGGAACUUGCCUUUGCGAGGGGGAUAACAGUUGGAAACGACUGCUAAUACCGCAUGAUGUCUACGGACCAAAGGGGGCUUCGGCUCUCGCGCAAAGAGAGGCCCAAGUGAGAUUAGCUAGUUGGUGAGGUAAAGGCUCACCAAGGCAACGAUCUCUAGCUGUUCUGAGAGGAAGAUCAGCCACACUGGGACUGAGACACGGCCCAGACUCCUGCGGGAGGCAGCAGUGGGGAAUAUUGCACAAUGGGGGAAACCCUGAUGCAGCCAUGCCGCGUGUGUGAAGAAGGCCUUCGGGUUGUAAAGCACUUUCAGUUGUGAGGAAAGGUUGGUAGUUAAUACCUGCCAGCUGUGACGUUAACAACAGAAGAAGCACCGGCUAACUCCGUGCCAGCAGCCGCGGUAAUACGGAGGGUGCGAGCGUUAAUCGGAAUUACCGGGCGUAAAGCGCACGCAGGCGGUUUGUUAAGCUAGAUGUGAAAGCCCCGGGCUCAACCUGGGAA
rnacentral:rRNA from 1 species